CGGGGAUGAUUUCCGUAAAGGUGCAUGAGUGGUGUUUGGUUUGUUGCGGAUGGUUGGAUGUCUGCUUGCGCAGCAACUUCCAUGCGGGCUUACCUCUUCAGUUAUGCUACAAGCCUUGUUUGGCUUGCAGCAUUCGGUGGGUUUCUUGUGUUGAUUACCUAAUCGAUGGCAUUGUUUGUCCCCAUUAGUUGGAUUUUGUAACACGUUGCUUGCGGCGUGAUACAAACAAUGAAGCAACCUUUGUUGUUCAACCUGUUGCUGCUCAUGCAUCGAUGGCUUGGCCCAUGAAGUGUUGAUUGGUCCCUUGGAUAUGGAACAUGAUGUGGGCACAAGUUUGUCAAAGAUCUUGUAUUUGCCCUCAUUGAGUGAUUUAGCUUCUUUACAUGCACCGUGUCCCC
rnacentral:misc_RNA from 1 species